GCUGUUGCAGAGGGCCCAGCUCUGCCUUCGAGCCUCUUUCUGUGGAUGUUGAACAACUGCGGGGAGAUUAACAUCACAGAAGUCCACAGCAGGGUUAGAAAACAACGCAGAUUCGGAUGGCUUCCUUCAUGCUAGGCGCAGACUGUUCCAGGCAGCUGGAGUGGGUGCCGCAGUCUCCCGUGUGGCCAGCCCGAGAGGAUUCUCUCUCCUUAAGCCCAGACCGAGCCUGGAGAAUGAGCAAGCUGCACGCCGGGCACACACUGCCUGUGGAUGUGAUUUGUAUUUCUUCCUCCCGCUUUGCAAGACCUCGAUUUUCUCACCAGUAGAAUGGGUAAUUUCAAGCAAUGUCUCUUGACCGGAAGUCUCUGCUGGCCUACUGAGAGUAUGAAUGCUGCAAUCCCCUCACAAAACACUUCACACACCUGAACCUGGCCUGUCCCACGCCCCCGCCAGACCCACCCCUGCUGCUCCCAACU